rnacentral:tRNA from 1 species
CAGGGAGACAACAAAAUGUAAAUAUUAAUUUUGUCACCUUAGGUCGAUCGGUAUCUCAGAUUCUUUAUUUUUUAAGAAUUUCAGUUUCUAAGUUUUUUCUAGGUCACACCCAUCACUUUUUCCUGGGCCAUUAGCUCAGGUGGUUAGAGCGCACCCCUGAUAAGGGUGAGGUCCCUGGUUCAAGUCCAGGAUGGCCCAUAUCUCUAUGUUGGGGGUAUAGCUCAGUUGGUAGAGCGCCUGCUUUGCAAGCAGGAUGUCAGCGGUUCGAGUCCGCUUACCUCCACUGAAUACCACCUCUUGCAUAUAUUUAAAGAGGGAAAUUGUUUUGAGUUGUGUCCUAAUUUGCUCUGAGCGAAUCUAGCUUCCUAUUUUAUUCAAUAAAUAAGAUGCUGGACUCAUUGAAUUUUUUUUCAUUGUUUUCAGAGAACCUUGACAACUGCAUAGAUUAUUUUUGAAGACAAUAAGCAUCUUUAAUGAUGCAGAUUUAUUAUUUGUGCGAAUGCAUUAAAUAACAAUUCUAUUAAGCUGAUGCUUCAAUUAUUGAAGUUAUU